rnacentral:rRNA from 1 species
CCUACGGGAGGCAGCAGUGAGGAAUAUUGGUCAAUGGGCGCUAGCCUGAACCAGCCAAGUAGCGUGAAGGAUGACUGCCCUAUGGGUUGUAAACUUCUUUUAUAUGGGCAUAAAGUGUAGUAUGUAUACUGCUUUGCAUGUACCUUAUGAAUAAGGAUCGGCUAACUCCGUGCCAGCAGCCGCGGUAAGACGGAGGAUCCGAGCGUUAUCCGGAUUUAUUGGGUUUAAAGGGAGCGUAGGCGGGUUGUUAAGUCAGUUGUGAAAUCGCGCGGCUCAACCGAGCCCCGCAGUUGAAACUGGAAGCCUUGAGUUAACAACAGGCAGGCGGAAUUCGUGGUGUAGCGGUGAAAUGCAUAGAUAUCACGAGGAACCCCGAUUGCGAAGGCAGCCUGCCGGGGUGCGACUGACGCGGAGGCUCGAAGGUGCGGGUAUCAAACAGGAUUAGAUACCCCAGUAGUC